rnacentral:rRNA from 1 species
CAAGCAAGUAAGAUCCCUCAGAGACGAUGAGGUAGAUAGGUUCGGGGUGGAAGCGUGGCGACACGUGCAGCUGACGAAUACUAAUCGAUCGAGGACUUAACCAAUAAC